CAGCAAUGCAACAUGGUGGCGAGUGAGCGGAACGGGUGAAGUAAUGCGCAGUGCCCUGCCCUUACAGAGUGGGACAACCCGGGGAAACCCGGGCUAAUACCACAUAUUACCUUGAGGGGGAAAGCUGGGGGCAACCCUGGCGCUGUGGGAUGGCGCUGCGUCCGAUUGGCCAGCUGGUGGGGUAGAGGCCCACCAGGGCACUGAUCGGUAGCUGGUCUUAGAGGAUGGCCAGCCACACUGGGACUGAGACACGGCCCAGACUCCUACGGGAGGCAGCAGUGGGGAAUAUUGGACAAUGGGGGCAACCCUGAUCCAGCAAUGCCGCGUGUGUGAAGAAGGCCCUUGGGUUGUAAAGCACUUUGGCCGGGGAAGAAGGGUACAGGCUGAACAGGCUUGUACUUUGACGGUACCCGGGGAACAAGCACCGGUUGAUUCUGUGCCAGCAGCUGCGGUAAUACAGGGGGUGCGAGCGCUAGUCGGAGUUACUGGGCGUAAAGGGCGCGUAAGGCGGCCAUGCAAGUGGGAGGUGAAAUCCCUGGGCUUAACCUGGGGGCUGCCUCCCGGACUGCAUGGCUGGAGUGCUGCAGAGGGUAGUGGAAUUUCCGGUGUAGCGGUGAAAAUGCGUAGAGAUCGGAAGGAACACCGGGUGGCGA
rnacentral:rRNA from 1 species